GGUCAUCUCAUAACCUAAUCGGAUCAAACCAAAUUGAAUCCAAUUCAAUUAGAUUUAAUCCAAGCUUCAAUGCUCAAUCAAAUUGAGUUAAUUAAUAAUCCAAUCACUAAUCAACCCUCCUAUAAUUCAUCAAUAAUUAGUAAAUUAAUUUAUUAUAACUUUUAUAAAUAUUAAUCAUCAAUCGAAUUGAUGAUUAAACCCUCGAACGAUUCUCAAUCAUUGAUCAGCCGG
rnacentral:lncRNA from 1 species